rnacentral:rRNA from 1 species
AUUCCAGCUCCAAUAAGGAAAACUAAAGUUGCUGUGUUUAAAAAGCUCGUAGUUGAAUUUCGGGUAUUUGUUGCCAGCUGGUCUAACUGACCAUGUUGGUUAACAGAUCCUCACUUGCUGGACGGCUGGCGAUGAUCUUUAUCGAUUGUCGUCAGUUGCCAGAACGUUUACUUUGAGAAAAUUAGAGUGCUAAAAGCAGGCUCACGCCUAUAUAUAUUGCAUGGAAUAAUGAAAUAAGAUCUCGAUUUUAUUUCGUUGGUUUUAGAAAUUGAGAUAAUGAUUAAUAGGAUCAGAGGGGGGCGUACGUACUGUGGUGUGAGAGGUGAAAUUCUUGGAUCGCCACAGGACGAACAGCAGCGAAGGCGUUCGCCAAGAAUGUUUUCAUUA